rnacentral:sRNA from 1 species
UGCAUGCGGUGCACGGAAUUGACCGGCAG